CGAUGACGUCGUGCCUGGGCGGAAAGUUUGCGAGAGUAGCGCGGGAGGUGAGAAGUUGGAGGGUAGGGUUCGUCCCGGCAAGGCCUUGAGCAGUUUGUUCCGCUGUCUUCCCGCUUCCUGGUGCCCCGACUGCGUCCCCACGAACUCCCCCGUCCUUACCGCCGGCUGCUGUGGAGUGCCUCGCUGUCUCCCAGGUCCCCGAGUUCCUGGUUUCAGAGAAGAUGACCGAAGAACUGGAUUUCCUGGGACAGGACUCUGAUGGCGGUAGUGAGGAAGUGGUCCUAACUCCUGCAGAGCUCAUUGAAAGGUUGGAGCAGGCCUGGAUGAAUGAAAAGUUUGCCCCUGAGCUGCUGGAGAGCAAGCCUGAGAUUGUAGAAUGUGUCAUGGAACAGCUGGAGCACAUGGAAGAAAAUCUCAGGAGAGCCAAAAGGGAGGACCUGAAGGUCAGCAUCCACCAAAUGGAGAUGGAGAGGAUCCGCUAUGUCCUCAGCAGCUACUUGCGGUGUCGCCUCAUGAAGAUAGAGAAGUUUUUCCCUCAUGUCCUUGAGAAGGAGAAAACACGUCCUGAGGGGGAGCCUUCCAGCCUCUCGCCGGAAGAGUUGGCCUUUGCCAGAGAGUUCAUGGCGAACACAGAGUCCUAUCUGAAAAAUGUCGCCUUGAAGCACAUGCCCCCUAACUUACAGAAGGUGGACCUCUUUCGGGCAGUUCCCAAACCAGAUCUAGAUUCUUACGUGUUUCUGAGAGUGAGAGAACGACAAGAAAACAUACUGGUAGAACCAGACACAGAUGAGCAGAGGAGAUAUGGGGUUUCACCAUGCUGGCCAGGCUGGUCUCGAACUCCCGACCUCAGGUGAUCCGCCCGCCUCAGCCUCCCAAAGUGCUGGGAUUACAGGUGUGAGCUACCGUGCCUGGCCACAUCAAGCUGUUUUUAAAGUAGAUUAACUUGUAAAUCUCCACAACAUACCUAUGCAAGGAAAAAUUUGAGAUUUUGGAAUAGGCAAAACAUUACUGGCUAUCCUUUCAAUGUAAUGCUUGAUCCCUGUGUGCUGUGUGCCCAUGUCUUUAAAUUUUACAACUCUGUAGAGGUACAAGUUGAUUUAUAGAAAACAUAAUGAUGUGAAUAUUUCCUGUCUUGCUAUGCAAAUGAUUCCUGCCCAUGGCAAUAUAAGUGAAUUUUGUCCUGUUGAGAAUAAGUCAAACCCCCAUUUGAUUGGAUGUUUUUUGUUUUGUUUUAAUUUCGGUGGGACAUAGUCUCGCCCUGUUUCCCAGGCUGGAGUGCAGUGGCAAUCUCAGCUCACUGCAACCUUUGCCUCCCGGGUUCUAGUGAUUCUCCUGCCUCAGCCUCCCCAAUAGCUGGGACUACAGGCAUGUGCCACCACACCUGGCUAAUUUUUGUAUUUUUAGUGGAGACGGGGGUUCGCCAUGUUAGCCAGGCUAGUCUCGAAUUCCUGGCCUGAAGUGAUCCACCUGCCUUGGCUCCCAAAGUGCUGGGAUUACAGGCAUGAGCCAUGGCAUCUGGUGAGCUUUGAUACCAGACUCCUUUGCUGAAGGCCACAUCACUUCUAAGUAGAGAUGUGAUCAAACCCCAGUGAGGCCAGGGCACCUGAGUCCAUCCUUUUCUUCUUACUGUAAUCUUUCUUUCCACAAAAGAAAAGAAGAUCCAAAAAUGUUUUCAGCAACAAUAGCUUCCUGGAAUAAGUUCUCAUAUUCGAAAAAGACUCAUUUGAGGGAAUAACCACUACCAUUCACAUUGCUUUAGAGGAGGUGGCAUUUUUCUCAACAUAGCUUUCUGUUUUAACCAGGUCCUAUUCUACGUAACACAAUGCUGACAAAUUCUGCCUAGCUUGUUAAGACAAAGAAAACCACUCGAAGUAAAGUCAGCACACAAUUACCUAGGUCUUGCUUCUUGUCCAGUUCUAUUAGUUUCUAUGGAAAUAAAAAUAAAAGUAAAUGACUAUUUUUGCCUCUAAGGAAUUUACAAUUAAUCCUGAGAAGAUGUCUUAAGUGUAAACCUAAAAGUAUGGGAUUCUUUGGCUCAAAAAAAAAUGUUCCUAACGGCCAGGCCUAGGGUUAAGAGGAAGUUAUUUUCUUGGGUCCAGAGAUUUGCAUAUGAAUGUUUUAAGCCUCUUAAAGUGACUUAAAACAACUUAGGACCCAAAGUUGUUGCCAGCUCAAAUGUAAAUGUUUUUAAACUUCAAAUUGCUGCUUCUGUUAUCACUGAACCUAUAAUUUUCCUUAAACAGAAUUCUGACCAUUUCAUUGCCUCUUAAAAAGCUUCAGUGGGCCGGGCACAGUGGCUCACAGCUGUAAUCUCAGCACUUUGGAAGGCAGAGGCGGAGGAUUACCUGAAGUCAGGAGUUCAAGACCAGCCUGGCCAAUAUGACAUUGCUGCCCUCAACCUCCGGACGAGUGAUUUGGUCCUCAAUCCAGGUGAGACUGUAGCAGGCCUGCUUUGUUUGUGUAGAAGAUCAUCAACUUUGCCAUCUUCUGGCAUCUGAAGUUUUCUGAUCUCCAGUCAACAACAUAACAUGUGUACCCCUUUGGGUCCUCUUUAGAGAGCUCAUGGGUAGGCUGCUGCCCACACUCUUGUCAACAGUUUAACAACUAACACGAGAGAGCCGAAGGGCUGUUACUUCAGUCCAUUUCUCUUGGUUCUCCAACUUUUUUUUUUGAGACAGAGUCUCGCUCUGUCGCCCAGGCUAGGGUGCAGUGGCAUGAUCUUGGCUCAUGGCAACAUCUGCCUCCCGGAGUCGGGGCGAUUCUCCUGACUCAGCCUCCAGAGUAGCUGGGACUACAGGCGCACACCACAACGCCCAGCUAAUUUUUGUAUUUUUUGUAGAUAUGGAUGGGGUCUCACCAUGAUGCCCACACUGAUCUCGAACUCCUGAGCUCAGGCAAUCCACCCACCUUAGCCUCCCAAAGUGCUAGGAUUAUAGGCAUGAGCCACCACUCCCAGCCAUCCAACUUUUACUUCUGUAUCAAACUGGAUCCCAUAAGUCAGUAUUUCUGGAUGAAUGUAUUAGUUCUUUGCUUUUAGCAAAGAGACAGCCAUGUGAAAAACAUUUCCAUGUUUUCUGAAAAUUAGAACUGAAGGCAUUAUCUAUUACAUAUCCAUUGUUUCUAUAUAAGAAUCCCUGUAAUAGAUUUUUCUCAGAAUUUAGUGCAAGUAAAAGUUUAUAUCUUCAAACUUUAUGGUUCAUUUUAUCAGACAAAUGAGUCCUAUCUGUUCCCCUUCCCAGCCUUCCUACCAGGAACUCAGAGCCACUUUGUAUGCCCCCACCUCCCUCUCAGCUUCCUUGUGUCUUUCCUUAAAUAGUUUCCGAUCUCCUUAUGAUACCUACAGUUUCAAUCUUCUAUUUUGCCUUAAUUUUAAAAGCUACCCCAAAUUUGGGGAAGAAUUACAUAAAAGAUAUGUAAGUAAAUACUAGUAACUUGGAUAUAUAUUAGUAGUAGCCUGAAGUUCCCACUUUUUAAAACAUGUAUGGGAAUGAGUGAUUUAUAAGCCAUUUGACAGCAUAUGAAUUCCUAAGUAGGAAAAUUCAUAAGCAAAAGUGGUAAUGAAGGCAGGAGGUGUAGUGUCCUCUCACUCCAGCACUUGUUUAAAAAGAGUGGCCAGGUCAGGUAAGUGACCCAGUAACAACAGCAGGUGCCAGGUAUAACUCAAUUCUCUUUAGUCAACAAACAGGUAGGCUGGCUGGGUGCGGUGCCUCACGCCUGUAAUCCCAGCACUUUGAGAGGCCGAGGCAGGCAGAUCACUUGAGGUCAGGAGUUCGAGACCAGCCUGACCAACAUGGUGAAACCCCAUCUCUACUAAAAAUACAAAAAAAAAUUAGCUGGGCAUGGUGGCGGGUGCCUGUAAUUCCAGCUUCUCGGGAGGCUGAGGCAGGAGAAUUGCUUGAACUCAGGAGAUGAAGGUUGCAGGUGAGCCGAGAUCAUGCCACUGCACUCCAGCCUGGAUGACAGAGUGAGACUGCAUCUCAAAAAAAAAAAAAAGGUGGGGUUAGACAUUGUGGUAUGUGCUGCACAUUCAGAGAAGAAAGCCCCUGUCUUAAAGCAGCUUACAGUCUAGAGAGGGAGACCAACAAAAACCAACUCACAGCAUACUAUGCUUGUAUAAAGGUAGGAAUGGGCAGGGCACAGUGGCACACUUCUGUAAUCCCAGCACUUUGGGGGGCCAAGGUAGAAAGAUUGUUUCAGCCCAGGAGUUCUAGACCAGCCUAGGCAACACAGCAAAACCUCAUCUCUACCAAAAAUACUAAAGCCAGGUGUGGUGGCAUGUGCCUGUAGUCCCAGCUACUCAGGAGGCUGGGGUGGGAGGAUGGUUUGUUUGAGCCCAACAGGAGGACAUUGCAGUGAGCCAAGAUGACACUAUUGCACUCCAACCUAGGCAACAGAGCUAGACCAUGCCUCAAAAAAAAAAAGAAAAAUAGAAAAAAAAUGAAUGAACGGGGCAUUAUGAAAAAACACAGGAAGAACUCAAAAGACUGGAAGAGUCCUGAAAUCUUCCCAGAAGAGGUGGUACCCAAGCCAAGACUUGAAACACUGGAGAGCUGAGCCAGGCUGAGGAGGGAAGAGAGGAUGGCUGCUGGAGGCAGAAAGGUCAUGUGCAAAGGCACAGAAGCCACAGGGUGGAUUCAGUACUCUGGAAACUCCCAGGAGUUGGGCAUGGCAGGUGCAUCAGACAAGAUUCGGGGAUGGGAGGAGAGGCAGUUUCCCGUCUUGGAGGAGUUUUAUAGGAGUCUCAUGGGAGACAGGUUUUCAGACAAAAGUCUUCAGGAGUCUGAUUUGUCAUGCUAAAAUGUAAAUAUGAAUUUUGCAUGAAAACAUUUAGAAGCCUCUGAAAGACUUUAAUAUUUGAUAUAAUCAGUUUUUUUGUUUGUUUGUUUUUUGUGGGGGGGACAGAGUUUUGCUCUUGUUCCCCAGGCUGAAGUGCAGUGUCACAAUCUUGGCUCACUGCAACCUCCGCCUCCCAGAUUCAAGUGAUUCUCCUGCCUCAGCCUCCCGAGUAGCUGGGAUUACAGGCAUGCACCACCACGCGCGGCUAAGUUUUGUAGUUUUAGUAGAGAUGGGAUUUCACCAUUUUGGUGAGGCUGGUCUCAAACUCCUGACCUCAGGUGAUCUGCCUGCCUCAGCCUCCCAAAUGGCAUGAGCCAUUGCACCCACCUGAUAGAAUCCGUUUUACAUUUUUAUUUUAUGUAUUUAUUAUUUAUUAUUAUUAUUACUUUUUUUUUUUUUUUUUGAGGCAGUCUUGCUCUGUCACCCAGGCUGGAGUGCAGUGGCACAAUCUUGACUCACUGCAACCUCCGCCUCCCAGGUUCAAGCAAUUCUCAUGCCUCAGCCUCUGGAGUAGCUGGAACUAUAGGCACGUGCCACCACACCCAGCUAAUUUUUGUAUUUUAGCAGAGACGGGGUUUGUCUAUGUUGGCCGGGCUGGUCUCGAAUUCCUGACCUCAAGUGAUCCGCCUGCCUUGGCUUCCCAAAGUGCUGGGAUUACAGGCAUGAGCCAGCACACCCAGCCCAGUUUUACGUUUUUAGAAAUCCAAUGCACAGAGAAAUCCUUCUGGUGACUGUGGAGAAUGGAGGUCACACUGGAGGGUUAGGAGCCAGGGCUGUGCGGGCAAAUCCAAGCCAGAAGGAAUGAGGGCCUUGUAGUACAUGCAGGAAGAGGUAACCUGGCAGUGUACAGAGCUUUCUGCUGCUGUAGUGGUGGACUAGGCCAUAUGGAUCAUUUUUAGUGAAGACAAACACUGGGUGAAACAUAAAAAGCAUUUUUCUAAAGCCAUCAAGGAGCUAACAAGCUAGUGAGGAAUUGUUGCACCAAGAUCUAGAAGACCACAGUCAAAAGAGGUCAAUACAGGCCAGGCGUGGUGGCUCACGUGUGUAAUCCCAGCACUUGGGAGGCCGAGGCAGGUGGAUCACAAGGUCAGGAGAUUGAGACCAUCCUGGCAAACACUGUGAAACCCUGUCUCUACUAAAACUACAAAAAAUUAGCCGGGUGUGAUGGCAGGCUCCUGUAGUUCCAGCUACUCAGGAGGCUGAGGCAGGAGAAUGGCAUGAACCCAAGGGGUGGAGCUUGCAGUGAGCCAAGAUCACGCCACUGCACUCCAGCCUGGGCAACAAAGCGAGACUCCGUCUCAAAAAAAAAAAAAAAAAAAAAAGGGGGGUCAAUACAGCAUUUGCCCAGGCCAAGUUGUAGCUGAGAGACAGCAGUGCUUCCAACAGCCUCAAGCAGCGCUUUUACAUCUGGGUUUCAUGGACCGUGCAAUUCAGAAGAUUCAUGAACUUGGCUAAGAAAAAAAUUGCACUAACCUCUAAAUGAAGCUUAGAUUUCCCUUCUAUUAUGAAUCUAGGCAACAAGCCACAGUAAUAUAUGUGUGUGUGUGUGUGUACAUUUUUUGAGACGGAGUGUCGCUGUGUUACCCAGGCUGGAGUGCAGUGGUGUGAUCUCAGCUCACUGCAACCAUUGGCCAGGCUGGUCUCAAACUCCUGACCUCAGUGAUCUGCCUGUCUUGGCCUCCCAAAGUGCUGGAGUUACAGGUGUGAGCCACUGCGCCUAGCCAAGCCACAGUAAUAUUAUCAGUACUUGUGACUUUGUCACCAACAGAAAUCAGAUAUCUUCCUACCACAUUUACAGUUGUUGCAGAUGUCUCAAAACGUCAUUUACAUUCCUAUUUUAAAAUUUCAGUCAUCAUUAGACCUGCUGCCAGAACAUGUUAUGUAAUGCAUUAAUAAAGAAGCACAUGUACUACUGUUA